AUUCCCUGGGGCGGCGUGGAAGGGAGGCAGCACCUCCAGGCGACAAGUAGAGCUGGGCCCUGGCGGGCUGCCACGGGGGUGUCUGGCAGUCUCUCCUGGGUCUAGGGCUGUUCCUCUGAGGUCACGAGGUGGUCCUUCGGGUGUGUCUGGGGUAAGCCCCUCUAGAAUCUGGGGGCGGCCUCCCGGGGGCCAUACUGCAUCACGUAGUGGAGUUGGGAAGAUAAAACCAGCACGUGUAAUGUAAUACAUGACAAUGGAAGAUUCUACGUAAUUAAGGGUUAACUCUGAAAUCAGAAGACAAGUUUUCCAAGACUUGGGAAGGUGGAGAGAUCAGAGAUCAGUGAGAGAACAAAGAAUCGGAUGGAGUUUGGCUCUUGUCGCCCAGGCUGGAGUGCAAUGGUGCGAUCUCAGCUCACCGCAACCUCCACCUUCCGGGUUCACGUGAUUCUCCUGCUUCAGCCUCCCAAGUAGCUGGGAUUACAGGUGCCCACCAUCUCGCCCGGCUAAUUUUUUAUUUUUAGUAGAAACGGCAGUUUCACUAUGUUGGUCAGGCUGGUCUCGAACUCCCAACCUCAGGUGAUCCGCCUGCCUCGGCCUCCCAAAGUGCUGGGAUUACAGGCGUGAGCCACGGCGCCCAGCCUGAUUAUGGUCGUUUAAUCAGCCCUGCAAUCCCCACUCCAUAAUGCCACCCUGCCAAGCUUCCUGAGCUGCUAUCUUUAAUGUUAGAUGCUGGGGCAGGCAGAAUAGUGCCCCUCAGAUAGUCAUGUCCAACUCCCCAGGCCCUGCCAAUGUGUUACCUUUCAUGGCAAAGGGGAAUCAGGGUUGUAGAUGGAACUGAUAUUGCUGUGGAAUAACAAGAAAGAUAUUUGGUCGUUGUCCCUGGUUUCUGGCACAAAGCUCUAAACCCUUGGAAUUUUGAGCAAUAGAGUGUUAAGAGCCUCUUUUGUUUUAGUGAGGCAACUCUUGUACUUAGCUUCAGGGUGGGAGCUGGCUGCCAGAAAGACCAAGCUUGAUUAGAAGAUCAGCAUUUCCUGCACCCCCUCCCCCAACCUCCAGGGAAGGGAGAGUGGCUGGAGAUUGAGCUGAUCACCAGUGGCCACAGUCAAACCUAUGGACUGAAGCCUCCAUAGAAGCCCCUAAAUGAUGGGGUUCAGGGAGCUUCCAAGUUGGCAAACACAUCCUCAUCCCAGAGGGUGGUGCACCCCAUCUUGACUGAGACAGUGGCUUCUGCACUCGGGACUUACCUUGUCCUGGGUACUUCUUCAUCUGGUUGUUCAUUUGUACUCUAUAAUAAACGGUAAGAGUAAGCACAGCUUUUCCUGAGUUCUGUGAGUCAUUCUAGCAAAUUAUUUAACCUUGGGGUAAUGAGGUAGUUGAAACCUCUUUGUAGGAACUUUCCUUUGUAGGUCAAUCAGCAGAAGUUAGGCUAACCUGGGAACCCAGUCCUUUCUUUGGUGUCUAAGGACAGUCUUGUGUGACUGUGGAGUCACACAAUAACUCCAGGUAGUGUCAGAAAGGAAUUGAAUUGUAGGACACCAAGCUGGCAUCAGAGAGUUGGAGAAGUGGUGUUGGAAAAGACACGGUUGAUGUCAAGAGGAAGAAAAAACCCUCAGUUGUUUUUUUUUUCUUUUUGAGAUGGAGUUUCACUCUUGUUUCCCAGGCUGGAGUGCAAUGGCACGAUUUCAGCUCUCUGCAACCUCUGUCCCC
rnacentral:lncRNA from 10 species